UAUACCAUAUGACUACUGGUCGAAGGCCUGGCCACCUCAUCAAAGAUUCUGUAGUAAUAAAAAACAAACUCUCACUUUGUUAUUGUUAAACAUUGUUAUUGUUAAACAUGGCAUACAUAUGAAAUACAUACUGCUAUGCAUGGGGCCUUGGAUGCCAAUAACUUGUAUUUCCUGUUUUUCUGAAGAUGUACAGUUAAUACUGUGCCUGGAUUUUUCCUUUCUUCAUUUCUGCUGAUUAUAAAUGUCUGAAAAUCAAUAGAGAAUAAUAGUAGAGCAGGCAGGAAAGAAAUAAAGAAACAUAGAUCACUGAUGUUAAUUAAAAUUUUAUCAGAGUUGUUUUGUUGAUAAGACAUAUUUUUUAGAUCUACUGUUUUGACACUGUUGGAUAUUUUAUUAUUCCUAGCGGUUUUAUCAUUAUAUUUACAAAGUUGUCUUUAAUAAUAUUAAUAAUAAUAAACCAACAAGGCAAUUUGCAAAUGGUUAAAUAAGUAUUUUCCUUUUACUUUGAAAGUAAAGCAAAGCUGCACUGCAAGACCCAAGCAUUUAAACAACCACCACCCAACUUUCUGGCUUCAUUAGUCUCCAUAAACAAUGUCAUUGUACAGCAACCAAAUAGCUGUGAAAGAUAACUAAGACAUUUGACUUCUAGACAAGUUGAAAAUACAGUAGUAGCUGCUAACCCGUCACAGUACACACAUAGCAGUGGCCACUCAAAUCUAAUCAUUUUGCAAGAAAUAUUUAGCAUUGUUUUGCUCACACAAAAAUGUGACCAUAGGACAAUUACAUCCAGAAACAUGGGAAGCUAAAAUGUCUGUAUAUACUGUGAAUAUGCUAAGCACACCAGCUGAAGACUGAAUACCUUUGUGUUUUCCCCCUUUCUGCGCACGGAUAUUUCCUGCAUUACCACGGCCUAUUUAAGAGCCAGUAAAUUUUUGUUAUGUCUAGUAAUGCUUCUUGGAUGACUUUUUGGCUCUCAUUUAUUUUCUAUAUCUUUGGCAUAGAUCAUGCUUGAUAUUUUGGAUGUGAGCGGAACCCGGAAAGUCAUUAAGUUAUAGAGCAAAAUAAAUAACGUAAGAGCCAGUGUGUGGUGUGAUCUCCCAGCCCCUCCACCCCCAUCCCAGCUUGGCCUUGGAUGGAGGUCAGCGGUGGGUCAAUGGGCAAGGCCUCUCAACCUGCUCAGAGCAUGAGAAGGAAAAGGGAGAGGCAGCAUGUGAGAGAAUGUGCGCAUGAAGACAGAGCCACAUGGACUCGAUCCUACAGACUGGGGAUUUCAUUGGCUUUGUUAUGUAAUAGCAAGCCACUGAGUAAUAAACAGCAUAUUCACUCCAGAAAAAAUGCAGAUACAGUGGAAGGUUAUACUGUGAAAGAAGUACCACAGGGUUAGACUUGUGACAAAACCCAAGAGAAAGGUGUUACUGAUCAGCUUUCCCGCCUCUCUCUCCUCUAAUCCUUCUCUUAUACAGUAGCUACAGGACAAAGGCUUUUGUUCAGAUUCCAGAGAGUUAUCAGGAAGGUUUGGAAAAGGCUGCUCCCAUGAGAAACUUAUUUGUCCUCUACUCCCAUGAGAAACCUACUUGCAGUAUAAUAAAAAGGUAAAGGGAUCCCUAACCAUUAGGUCCAGUCGUGACCAACUCUGGGGUUGCGGCGCUCAUCUCGCUUUAUUGGCCGAGAGAGCCAGCGUACAGCUUCCGGGUCAUGUGGCCAGCAUGACCAAGCCGCUUCUGGCGAACCAGAGGAGCACAUGGAAACGCUGUUUACCUUCUUGCCGGAGCGCUACCUAUUUAUCUACUUGCACUUUGACAUGCUUUCGAACUGCUAGGUUGGCAGGAGCAGGGACUGAGCAACGGGAGCUCACCCCGCUGCAGGGAUUCGAACCGCUGACCUUCUGAUUGGCAAGUCCUAGCCUCUGUGGUUUAACCCACAGCGCCACCCACGUCCCUGCAGUAUAAUAACCCCUGUAUUAAAACAUGGGUGACAAGGGAGCUGACUGUGUGAAACCAGUUGGUGAGCUUGGAUGCUUCAUUUUUGCUCUUGACGAACCAGUUCAGCCUGCCCCCUGCAGAAGAAUGGCGAAUGAAUGAAUGAAUGAUAAAAAACUGUACCUUGUAGUUGUUUGUGGCCCGGCAUUAAGCACCUCUGAAACCCCAGAUUUGUUGUACGCCCUGAUAGCUUUAGCACACUAUUCAAAACCCACAAUCUUCCUUUAUAAGAUCCUAUUGCGCAAUGGGAAAUUUGAUGUGAAUGGCCUAAAGGAAGACUGAAAGAGGGAACUGGACUACUCCAUACCCUUGAUCCACAGUUAUCUUUCCUCUGCUCUUUCCAAGCACAGUUUGCGCUUUAAAGCUCCGUGCCUGAGUGUGCUUUUGUUUGCUCCAGUUUUCCCUGUGAAAACCCGCUCUUUUGGGGACAUGUUGGACUCAUCAUUGUCUUUGUCAGAAAUGCCUUGCAUCCAAAGAUAUCUUCUGGUGCUGUGGUACUGUGGGGUGGCACUGGAAAAAAUAUGAUCUGGCCAUUCCUUAUACUAGCUCUGUUUCGCACCCAAGUAAUUGUCUGCAUGAACUAGGGCCUGGGAGAAUUCCUGGCAUUAUCAGAUGUUCAUUCUAUACUCAGUGAUAUUCCAACCCUGUGGACCUUAGCAGAGAGGCAACAUCAUUGGACUUUGCACACAUUGUUGGGUGGUCCAAAGGCUGGUGUUAAACCCUGAGAGGAGUUGUUCAUGGUAGUGGUUGUUCAUGUGGUGUCUUAGCCACUAUCCUACAGCAGAAUGUGCCACUCUGAAGAGGCCUAACACAGCCUGCACGAUGGCAGAACCAUUGUGGAUCCCUCCUCCCAAAUUCCACAGCAUGUUCUUCCCAACUAGAUGUUAACAUUACCCAUCAAGUGCAAGGAUUUCCCAUAUUCCUAAACUGGGACAAGUAAAGUCAAACAGCCAUUUUAAACUGUCUCGGAGAGAGGGCGGGGGGAGACCGACCUGUCAAACUGAAGAUAUGGCCAUGAGAUGAAAAACAUUAUUUUGCCUUUUUAAGAUAUUCGUUCUGUGGUGUUCCCACUUAUGCUCCAGUAGAGCAGCUGCCAAGGUACUGAUUAUUUCUUUUAUUAUAAAGUAAUACAAUACAAGAUGGUAGGGUUUUAUUAUUUGUUUUACCUUCCACAUUUAUUAUAUUAGAAGCCUGACACACUGUUCUCACUUGCUUCCUCUGCCAGGCUGAGGCUCCCUCUUCCUACUAAAAUAAAACCCCCAAAAGCCGCCCAGGGAGUUUCCUUCCAAAAAAUAACAAUCCUCUUAAAGAGAUAUCACAACGCACACCCCAGCCCUUCCUCUUUUUUAUUUUAUGUUAAAGAUUUAGUGGUGUGGUGCCCCCCAAAAAAUGUAUGACUUCAUGAGGAAAAGCCCAUUUGGAAGAGACAUUCAUCAUCUUCUCAACCAGAUUGAACUGUUCUAGGACUGAGCCCAAGCGACUCGCUCUUUCUCACAGGCAUUUCCAGCAAUGAUAAAAAUGUCUCCCUUUUCCAUGUCAUUCAUUGCUGCUUGAGAUGAUGUUGGCUUGUGCUCAGUUACUUUCAGUGUGUCAUCAUGCAGUCAAGUCUAAGGUAAGCCACAUCUGAACCAAACAUUUAAAGCACUGUUACGCUUGCUUUAUGCAUGAGGCUCCCCUCAAAUGAGCAGGAAAGUGUCCUUUGCUAUGUGUGCUGUGCAUUGUUAGGAGACUCCCCUGUUUCCCCCACAGAACUACAAUUCCCAGAGUUCCCUAGGAAGAGGGAUUGACUGCUAAAGCCCACGGAUUAUGGUGGUGGUAAUAUAUAAAAGGAAGGGCUGGAGGACUUGGAACGUUGGUACUUGUGUGGGCCACCUACCAGAGAAUCUGAGAUUCUCACAACAGUAGCAAGUUCAUCCAACAAACACCCCAAGGAGGCAGUAAAGUAUUAUUACCCCAUUUGCAAGUGCAUUGCCAAAAAUGACACAAUUCUGAAACAGAACUGGGAACAGAACCAAUCAAUCCUGAGGUCUAGUUCAAUGCUUCUCAUAACCACAACUCCCUCCUUUCCCAUGUUUGGUCUGGACACCUGUUCUUUGGACUAAGCCGGGCCACUUCAGGUUUGAAUUGCAUUUGAACCAACAUCUUAAGACGUGGAAAGCUACAUAUUCCAUUACCAGGACCUCCAGAGACAAAGUGCUAAUCAAUGUAAAUAUGAGCUGGUAAUUCCAGCUCAGUUUCUAAACCAGCAAAUGUCAAUAUGCUUUAAGUUAUUGGGAUUCAAUACAGUAAAGAGGGUGGGUUCUUUUUCCUUUCUUUUCUUUUUUCCAAGGGAACAUUAGAAAAUCAACUGCAAGGAUGUGAGCAAAGUUUAAAUGUCAGCUGAAAAAACAGCUGCUAGUAAAAAAAAGAAAGAAAGGAAAGAACACCAUUCUAUGAGCCAAAGGAAUUGGGUUGGGAGGAAGUUGAAAUGAGAGAUGUUUAGCUCUUUAAUGCUCCCGUGUGAGGAUAAAAGGGCGAGACAUAGGGAAUCUUCUUUGGCAUAAGGUCAUUCUGGAAGUUUCUGUUCUGCAAAAUCUGAUCUCUCCAUAUGGCUGAUUUGUGCAAGGAAAGUGGUCCAAGCAUAUGUGGCAGUGAUGUAACAAGCCUAAGAGCUCAUGCACCUGUGGCUGCUCACGGCCACAUUGAGCUCUCCAGAAGCUGCUCUGCGACUUGCCAGAGCAGUUUUCCAUCACAGAUGUGUAAAACAUUUUUGCAAAUAUGGGUUUCCUGACCCAUUCGAGCUAUUUUCCCCCUCUCCUUGUGUUUUCGUGAAUAUGGAGAUUAAAUUGCUUCUGAAAGAAAGCUUACCUUCUGUUUUAGAAUUUAUCAUUCACUUCUCUUUAAUAUUAUGCCACACGUCAGCUGUCAGCUAAAGAGAUUGUUAUCUGUCAGCUUUGGCUUUGGGGCAUUGAGUAAAAACAGUGAGCAAGACAACAAAGAGUUCAAUGGCACCUUAAAGACUAAUAAAUUUACCAAGGCAGAGCCUGCCUCACCAGACGGAUGAGGAAUCACUCGGACGCUCAAGGCCCAACUAACCCCUUCUUUAGCAAGCAAGUGCUCCUUCUUGCUUGUGCUACUACAAGCACCGGGACCCCUCUGCAACAAAGCAAUGCCCUUUAAUUCAGCAAAAUAUCACUUUCCACAUAACAGUUCUGAUCUUCAGAUAAUUGGUUUAUUAUGCUGUAAGCCAGGGGGAAGAAACAGAAGGCUUACAUGCUGUGCUGUGUGGCAACUUUCUCAUGCAGUGGCUGCUUCACUGCACUUGUUGUCAGGCAGCCCCACUGGGGAUAUAAGGGGGAAAGAGGAGGGGGGAUUUUCUGUGGAGGAAAGCCAUAUGUCGCUGGAGUGAGUCCUAUCUGAGACUCCGUAUAACUGCAAUGGAAAAGCCAGAGGUUGAGGGAUUUCUCUCUCUGACUGCAGCACAAGCCAAAAGAGAUUGGGGAGCAUGACCUCCCAGCAUGCUGCUUACUUGGAACAUUAAAGGAUGGGGGAAAUGUGGCGUGGGGAGACGGGGAGAAAGAAAAAGAGAGAGAAAGCAUGAAAUAUUCACAGAUAAGUGGUGGGAAUAAAUUGGCCACAAGACAAUCCUGAAUCGUGCUAACUUGGGUCAUUAAGGGCUCAUCCACACACCUGUUUGCUCCACCUCUUUUGUCCUGGAAAACCCAAGGUUUAGUGCUCAGCUGGAAUAAAUGGCAACCAGGUUUCCCACAGGUUUCCUGUUUGUUCUGAUUUAGCGCUAAAGAAUGGGUUUUCCAGGGGAAAGCAGCGGGGCAAAGGCAAAGCCGCUCUGACCUGUGCCUAGAAAAUACGGGGCAAGCGGAAAACCUCUCAGACUCCUGCCUUCUGGGCACGGGAUGAGUGGAAGUGUGAACAAGCCCUCUCUCUCGCUCUCUGUAGACCAUGGUACUAAGUGAGUGUUGUAAAUCCUGCUCCUUCUAAUCUCAGGUGAGAAUAAGCAUAAAUGAGACCAAUGGGGAGGACAGAAAGCCCCUUCACAAUGAUGCCUUGUGUAGGGGGAACCCACAUGGUGUCUUCCAGUUGUUUUGGACUACAACUCCCAUCAUUCGCUGCCAAAAUAGCCAGUGGUAGGGGAUAAGUGGAGUUGUAGUCCAAAACAUUUGUACAGCAUCAUGUUGGCUAGCCCCGGCCUGGUUCUUCUGUUUACUGCUAUGCUUAAUUCAUAUUCUACGCCCCACAGGGAAGACACCAAGAAUACAAAAGUAGCCGUCUUCUGCACAGAAGGUCAUUGUUCAAAUUGACCUUACUGCACAGGUCAGCCCAGUAGUACGGCAUGUCUCCAAAGAAGCACCACAUGUAAUAUUUACACAUGCAGUAAAUCCAAUAUAAAUGCUAUGCCCCACUCACUGCAUGCACCAUCAUGCACAAGUGUUUUUGGCAACCUCCAUAUGACAUGAUUAAAUUCUGAAACGGCAUCUAGUCUCCAGAUUUUUUUUUUAAAAAAGAUUGCAAUUUACCAGUAAUAAUGGCAUUGUGAAUUGCCCUGCCUUUUGACAAUUGCUCUGCCUUUAGAGAGAAUGUUUGCAUCUAAUACUUUUUCCAUUGUGUUAUUGUUUUUAUUUUUAUUUUAUAUAUUGUGAUCUUUUCUGUGAACUGCCCUGAGACCUCCAAGUAUAGGGUGGUAUAUAAAUUCUAAUAAUAAUAAUUAAUAAUAAUAAUUCAAAAGAGAAGUGGAGUCACAUGACUCCCAUAGUGCGCAGCUGCCCCUACAAACUCCUCACACUGAGCUCCAGGGCCAAUAGGAGACGGGAGUACAGGGGUUGUGGGGCGUCACCGUGGAACUGCAGACGCCAAUUAAUUUUUGGUUGUAAUGUCCCAGAUUUCAGUUUUUGCCAGUAGUCGUCACUCAACCCGAACAAUAAUUUGCUUGACUUCCGGGGUCAAACCCCAGCACACUGGUGCACUUUUUUCUGCCUCUUUCCCACUAUCAGAAGUAGAAUGGGGUAGAAUGGGGUGCACAAAAGCCAAAAUGCUCAUAAUGUGCAGCCUCCCCUCCCUCUAGGGGUCCUCAAUUAACCUCAAACACUGAGGGCUGAGUCACCUUUAAAAAAAACACCUUCAGGCAAGAGGAGCACAUCACUUUAGGCCGUGUAUGGUUUGGCCUAAGCAGUCCUUUUCUUAUAGAAAAAAAAUGUGUUGGUAUUCACCAUGAAGCUGCUACAGUAAACGCCUCACUUUUAAUCAGUGUUUUUAAUCUAGAAAUAAAGUGCUGCUACUGCAGACCCUUGAGUACCCCCAGGGGGGAAAAACCACCGGCCCUAAGACUCUCAGGUCAGGGGCUUGAAAAAAGGCAGCAUAUUUUCAAAGAGUAUGUAUUGCGAAAAAGACCAAAGACAAUUGAACAAGGGCUUAAGAUUCAUACAUUUUUUUAAAGUGAAACUUUUCUAUUUUGGAAUUCCACAACAUCAUUGGUGGUUACAUCAGAGUACUUUCUCAGGGAUGAAUCAGGCCCUCAACAUUGUGACUGUUAAGAGCAGACCCAUCUGCAUCAAAGGACAUUUUGUUAAUCAUUGAUCGCUCAUCUGCUCAGAUCCUGAUGUCAAAUGUAUUCAUCCUCAAAGUUCUCAGACAAAUGCUACCUCACAGAGGGACGCUGCCACAACAAUUUCAAGUCACCUGUAUAUAAACAACUCAUCCCACCUGUCCAUAUGUAUCUCCACGAGAGCUUUGUAGGGAAGCUUGAGGAAUUCAGUUUUUGUGGAUUCCAGCAUGAACUGCCCUGAUCCACAUCUACCAGACCAAUGUGCAGAUGGGGACUUCAUUAUCUACCAUCUUCCAUGCUUUCCAAAUGUUCCAACAAAGUUCUAAGUUAAGAGGUAGGCCAGAAUAUGUUUGAAAAUGCUUAUUUUAGGAAAAGAAAAUACGUUCAGAAAUGGGCAAUUUUUCAAAAAAUUACUUUGGAUCCAGACUACCCAUGGGCAGAAUUCCAUCUGUGAGGAGAGGCAAUUUUUGCUGAUGCCUUGAUCCCACUGCUGUCCCCUUUGCCUCACAAAAAGCUGUUCUGUAGCGGCAGUGGGGCCUCUUGAGCACCAUGGGGUCAGGAGAGGGAGAAGGAAUCAGCAAAAAUGGCGGCUUUCUUUUUGCCCUGUUGAAGCUUUAACUGAAUCUCAGUCCCUUUCAAGAACAGAAGGAGUCGUUUUGCUCUGGGAAGGGUAAAUCUGGCUCCAACCUAUAAUAUUUAAACAUUUCCAUCUCAUGUGGAUUUUGUGGGAAUGGGAUGGAUGAAUUUAUGAAGCAGUAGGGGACGUGAGUGGUGCUGUGGGUUAAACCACAGAGCCUAGGACUUGCUGAUCAGAAGGUCAGUGGUUCGAAUCCCCGUGAUGGGGUGAGCUCCUGUUGCUCGGUCCCUGCUCCUGCCAACCUAGCAGUUCGAAAGCACAUCAAAGUGCAAGUAGAUAAAUGGUGUUUCCAUGCGCUGCUCUGGUUCGCCAGAAGCAGCUUAGUCAUGCUGGCCACAUGAUCCGGAAGCUGUUCGCCGGGCCAAUAAAGCCAGAUGAGCGCCGCAACCCCAGAGUCAGCCACGACUGGACCUAAUGGUCAGGGGUCCCUUUACCUUUACCUUUAGUGGCGCAGGCUGGAAACAAGCCAGCUGGAUCCCUAUCUGGGUGUUAUCAUUAAGAGUACAGAAAACAUAUAGGGGGAGGGACGGUGGGAAUGAGUGUGCCAGCACAGGCCCUUCCCCAUUGCUGUUUACAACCUCUUUAAACUUGUGGGGAAGAAAAGCCAGAAGGGGGGGGGGAGAGACUCCUGUAAUCACGGAGGCUUCUUACAUAUUCCAGAAGACAGAAAAGCCUCAAUUGUAGCCUCAAUUGUUUCAUGAAACAUCCCACAAUGGGGACGUAGCUAGUACAGUGGUACCUCAGGUUACAGAUGCUUCAGGUUACAGACGCUUCAGGUUACAGACGCUUCAGGUUACAGAUGCUUCAGGUUACAGACUCCACUAACCCAGAAAUAGUACCUUGGGUUAAGAACUUUGCUUCAGGAUGAGAACAGAAAUCAUGUGGUGGCGGCAGCAGGAGGCCCCAUUAGCUACAGUGGUACCUCAGGUUAGGAACAGUUUCAGGUUAAGAACGGAUCUCCAGAAUGAAUUAAGUACUUAACCCGAGGUACCACUCUACACACAUCCCCCCGACAUGCUUUCUGUACACUUAAUGAUAGCACCAGAAUAGGCUUUUUGCUGAAAAGGGUGUGGAAGAUGGAACGCCAGACUCCAGGCUCUUCCAUCCAAAGGCACUGCCAGGCACAGGCACUUUUCCCUUCAAACUCUUCACUUGCCCCAGGAAACAAGGGCAGGGAGCUGAUAUUGGUACUUCCCCAGGGUCCAGUUUCUGGCAGCUAAUUCAUAAUAUAAAGUGAUUAAAAUGAGAGUUGGGUUUUGUUUUGUUUUUCAUUCUCAUUUCCAAGGAGAGCAAACCAUUACCAAAGUUUCUGGUUCAAACCUUCCAUUUCAUUGGAAAGACUCUCCAGACCUCUGCUAUGCAGUUUCUGUGAAAUGGGCAUUUUUAGAGUAGCAGAUGAUAAAUGGGCUGUGGACUUUGGUGCAUCAAGUCCAGCCAUUCCAGAGCAAGGAACAUCUUCCUGGAUGGCACCAUAUAUGGGCAAAUUGGUCAUUCCCUGCACCAUACCUUGCAUGACUGUGUGCUGAAUACACACCAGUCUUGACUGCGUUGUGUGAGGGUGAACCCAGAGUCUGGAAGGUCAGCACAUCGGCAGUUCACUGGCAUUUGACAUUGUUUGUGACAACGCCAGCAAGGAAUCAUAAGUGGAUGCUAUCAAGGCUUGCUAUUUGUGUAUUAAUGAGUCACAUUGUGCCAAAUUCACAACAGCCAGAUGUCCCAACUGACCCAGACAAGGCACUCAGACAGAUCCCACGCGUUUCAUGUGUCAGUUAUACCCAUUCAUAAAAACAGCUCCCUCCUCACAUCUAAUUCCUUGGGAAGGCUUAAGAUCAUUGUGCAAUUUUCAGUAUUCUUUCCAUUGAUUUCCUCAUCAAUUUGUGUCUUUCUUACUUUGUUACGUCCAUAAAAAUCAUCUUGUGGUUAAUAAAAAGGGUGGGACAGGAAGCAUUGUCCAUCAGAGAAAAGAAUUCAAAAAAAGGACACGGAGUCCGUCCUGGAAAAAUAACAUUAUUCUGUGCUCUUAUAAGUGUUACAGCUAUAGAAACAAUCUUGUGGACCAAGUCAGACAGAUGUUUUUCCUUUUUUUCCCCUCCCCCUUCCUCUCCCUUUGAAUAGAGUUUCUCAACAGCACAGCUGAAAAACCUUUGGAAAAAACACACAGGCGGG